rnacentral:rRNA from 1 species
GACGUAGGGUGCGAGCGUUGUCCGGAUUGAUUGGGCGUAAAGAGCUCGUAGGCGGCUUGUCGCGUCGACCGUGAAAACUCGCAGCUCAACUGCGAGCCUGCGGUCGAUACGGGCAGGCUAGAGUUCGGUAGGGGAGACUGGAAUUCCUGGUGUAGCGGUGAAAUGCGCAGAUAUCAGGAGGAACACCGAUGGCGAAGGCAGGUCUCUGGGCCGAUACUGACGCUGAGGAGCGAAAGCGUGGGGAGCGAACAGG